ensembl:lncRNA
AAAGGAAGGUCAUAGCAAUAUUUGUGAAAGGGCCAGAUCAAAACAAUAUCUCACCUUCUUCGGUUUGCAUGUUUUUACAUAGGUGGAAAACAAACUUUCUGAGAUGGAUGGGCCCUGAAUAAGACUGCUUACUUGGAGAACCAUGCCCUGGUGCCAGAAAGGUUGGGGACCGCUGCCUUGGAGGGAAGGCCACUGUCUUGGAAGGAAGGUCCCAGAAGGCAAUCAAGAUGUGAUACUGGGCAGUAAGGAGACCUGGAAGGAGCUGAUUUGCAGAAGCACGGCCUUGAUGGAGAACCCAGGAGAAGGAAGUUUUGAUGAGACAGAGAAUUCUGGGGACUUCCCAGUGGGGAGAUGACUUGGAGCUGGGGCUGAUGAUUAUUGCUUGUGCCCCGUGCCUCCCGGCCUCUCCUCUGCAUUGGAUCAGCUCACUGGAUCCCCAAACCCUGCUAGGACUUUGUGUUGGCAGCAAAUCAACUCUGGGUCUAACCCCAGUUUCCUUGGCCUUUUUUGGACGGUGGAUCUCUCUGGUAUCUGAUGAAGUUCAUGAACUUUUUCUCAGAAUAAUAUUUUUAAAUGCAUGAAAUAAAAUACAUAGAAUCACAAUGGAAAUCAAUCAUAUUGAUAUAAAGUUAUUCAAAAAUCUGUGAUGUAGUAAUACAGUGUGCUUCUCUUUUAGCAUGUUAAAGAACAAGAUCCGGCUUUGGGCUUAGUUAUUUUGAAGUAAUGGUGAACAAAAUCAAUAUCUGAAGAUGUCUGCCACAGCUGUAACGUGAUAUGAGAAUAUCUGUAAUUUCCAUUGGUGACCAAGUCACAAGUUCUAUGAACACUAAUAAGGUUUGUUCUCCGCACUCGUCACAGAAGGAAAUGCUGAAUUUCAGUUAGAGAUUGGGGAAGAUAAAGAUGUAAUCCACCCUGUUCCUCCCCCACCUCAACUUAGGAAAUUCCAGUCUUUGCCAGUUUGGGCCUGUGAUUUCCACUGUGACCCCAGUGUAUCCCUGGCUUACAGCUGUGACCAGAAGAUAGUUUCACAAGUACAUGAAUCCCUCCAGGAUCCCUUGGCUGGAGUUGACUCCUCUCUGUCAAGGCUGGAAAUUGUUUAUAAAAGUGGUGUUCCCAGUAGCUGACCCUGGGGAUCCUUGCUGUGUGCCUAUGGGCCUAUCCCAUGUGAAGAGCAUGACCUGCAAUAGCUCACUCCAUCGACAGGUGAGGCAAGUAGAUGCCUUGCAGCCCUAUUCACAGAUGUGAGAAAUGAGCCUCAGAGACGGGAAUAAGCUGUUCAGGUGGAGUCUUCUCUCCGUCCCAGGGCCCAGCUCCCAGCAGGUGACACGGCCAUGAACGGAACAGUGGGUUAUGGAGUGCCUUCAAGGAAAACCAACCCCUCAGUCUCUCACAGAGCUCACUGGAUGCCCCCAAACCUGGCCUCACCUCCUCCUCACCCCCAUUUCCUCUGAGUGUAAAAAUAGACUCCCCUUUAUUUGCCUGCCUUUGUAAUCUUCAUAUCUGGCCCGCAGCCAUCCUGGGCUCCCCCUUCCCCCACACAAAACCUUUGUCGCCUUAUGCAAAUAGCCAAGUUCUGCUCAUAAAAGUACCCCACCUAAGAGGGAGCUGGAGAGAUAACACCUCAUGGAAAAUUACAGAAACACAUUUCUUUGUAUUUGAAUACUUCCAGGACUUUGUGUUGGCAGCAAAUCAACUCUGGGUCUAACCCCAGUUUCCUUGGCCUUUUUUGGACGGUGGAUCUCUCUGGUAUCUGAUGAAGUUCAUGAACUUUUUCUCAGAAUAAUAUUUUUAAAUGCAUGGAAUAAAAUACAUAGAAUCACAAUGGAAAUCAAUCAUAUUGAUAUAAAGUUAUUCAAAAAUCUGUGAUGUAGUAAUACAGUGUGCUUCUCUUUUAGCAUGUUAAAGAACAAGAUCCGCUUUGGGCUUAGUUAUUUUGAAGUAAUGGUGAACAAAAUCAAUAUCUGAAGAUGUCUGCCACAGCUGUAACGUGAUAUGAGAAUAUCUGUAAUUUCCAUUGGUGACCAAGUCACAAGUUCUAUGAACACUAAUAAGGUUUGUUCUCCGCACUCGUCACAGAAGGAAAUGCUGAAUUUCAGUUAGAGAUUGGGGAAGAUAAAGAUGUAAUCCACCCUGUUCCUCCCCCACCUCAACUUAGGAAAUUCCAGUCUUUGCCAGUUUGGGCCUGUGAUUUCCACUGUGACCCCAGUGUAUCCCUGGCUUACAGCUGUGACCAGAAGAUAGUUUCACAAGUACAUGAAUCCCUCCAGGAUCCCUUGGCUGGAGUUGACUCCUCUCUGUCAAGGCUGGAAAUUGUUUAUAAAAGUGGUGUUCCCAGUAGCUGACCCUGGGGAUCCUUGCUGUGUGCCUAUGGGCCUAUCCCAUGUGAAGAGCAUGACCUGCAAUAGCUCACUCCAUCGACAGGUGAGGCAAGUAGAUGCCUUGCAGCCCUAUUCACAGAUGUGAGAAAUGAGCCUCAGAGACGGGGAAUAAGCUGUUCAGGUGGAGGUUGCAGGUGUGUGGCAUGCCCUGGCCUUUCCUCUAAGUUGUAUGUAUUACAUACUUGCCAUCGAUCACUUUAUCUUGAUUUGAGGUGACCAUGAUGAAAUUGUAAUAAUAAUAGUAAUAAUGAAAAUAAUUACCAAUGGGAGGGCCCACUGUAUUUUAGAGUCAUUACAGUAUCAUCAGAGCUGAUCCUAAUAGCUUGUGUUCCAAACUCUGUUCUAAGGACAUAACUCAUCUUACCUUCCAAACAACAGGUCAUGUUCUUGUCCCUGUUUCAAAGAUGACGACACUGAAGGCCAGAAAAAUUAAGUCAUUUCCUCAAGGUCCCAUAGCUGGUCAGCUGGGAUUGGAACCAAGGAAAUAUGACUGCAGCAUCCUCAUUUUUUAGUAAGUGAGCUGUUUUGUUGAAGUAGAACAUAUACAUAGAAAAAUGCAUAGGUCAUGAGCCCAGACCUCAACGAAUUUUCACAGAGUGAAUACAUUUACCUAACACACCACCCAGAUCAGGAAAUAAAACAUGAUCACCACCUGGCAGCCCCUCAUCCCUUGCUUAUCAUAUACUCCCCAAGGCAAACAUUAUCCUAACUUCUAUUGUUAUUGGUCAGUUCUACCAGUUUUGGGGUUUAUACAUACAUUCCCUCAUUCUUAAGCAAAGUGAAAGUGAAAGAAGAGAGUGAAAAAGCUGGCUUAAAACUCAAUAUUCAGAAAACGAAGAUCAUGGCAUCUG